UAUUAACAAAGUCUGUUGAAAGCAUCAACUAUCUUGGGAAAUGUCGUCUCCAGAUUUGAGUCAUGUUUUAGUGUAAUGUUUAAUCUUAUGUGAGGAUGUUGGAGAAACUACAGCAGGACACUAAGGAAUGAAGGUCAAAACCACAAAUGCAGGGAGCUAGAUGUAUCAUUAACUUUUUAAAUAUACUGAGUUAUAAGGUCAAAAAAUUACAGACAGAACUUCCAGCUUCUGCUGAUGGUGUAGGCAUCUGGAAAAUGUGUCUUUAUUAAAAUUACAUUUAAAAACGAGUGAUAUUCAGGGUCAUGACUUUCUGAACCCAUCAGAGAGCUGAAUUGCAGGGCAAUUAAAUAGUUUAAAAUGAAGGAAAGAGAGGUGCCUCCUACAAUAACAGAGAUGGGCUGCAAACAUUGGAUGACCUGUGGCAGAGCACGGAAAGAAGGCAAGGAUGACAGCUACAUGCAGACAAGGUCUCCAGAUUUGCCACCCAUGCUGAGUGCCGUGGUGUGAUCAUGGCUUAUUUCAACCUCAACCUCCCCCACUCAAGCGAUCCUCCUGCCUCAGCCUCUGGAGUAGCUGGGACUACAGGCACGCACCACCACACCCAGCCAUAAUUUGCCUCUUGCUGUAACUAAAAGGUCACAAAAACAAAGAAUUCUAAAAAAUCUUCUUCUUAAGUGAAAGAGAUUUAAAAGAACACCUGAAGGGAAAUAAGAAGAGAAACAGAAUAUGAAGAGGAUUCAACCAAAUAGAGCCAAUGAAGGAGACAGAGCAACUUAAAUAAUAAGAGCAAUUUUAAAAAAUGGGACAAAAAGGAAAGGAUACUCAGUGCAUAGUUGAUGGCUUAAGAAAAUAAGAUUUUUUUAUAUUAUACUUUAAGUUCUAGGGUACAUGUACACAACA
rnacentral:lncRNA from 1 species